GCUAAUGACGUGGCAGAGGCCUGGGUAAGAGGGAGGAUCCAAGGGGUGUCCGGAUUGACUGGGGUGAAAGGGUGCGCAGGCGGGCUGGUAAGUCUGGGGUGAAAUCUCGCCGCUCAACUGCGAAACUGCCUUAGAUACUAUCAGUCUUGAAUAAGCGAGAGAUCCGUGGAAUUCCGAGUGUAGCAGUGAAAUGUGUAGAUAUUCGGAAGAACACCAGCGGCGAAGGCAGCGGGUUGGCGCUUUAUUGACGCUCAGGCACGAAAGCAUGGGGAUCAAACAGGAUUAGAUACCCGGGUAGUC
rnacentral:rRNA from 1 species